rnacentral:rRNA from 1 species
UACGUAGGGUGCAAGCGUUGUUCGGAAUUACUGGGCGUAAAGGGCGCGUAGGCGGCCUUCUAAGUCAGACGUGAAAUCCCCCGGCUUAACCUGGGAACUGCGUCUGAUACUGGGAGGCUUGAGUAUGGGAGAGGGAUGUAGAAUUCCAGGUGUAGCGGUGAAAUGCGUAGAUAUCUGGAGGAAUACCGGUGGCGAAGGCGGCAUCCUGGACCAUAACUGACGCUGAGGCGCGAAAGCUAGGGGAGCAAACGGG